AUGCAUGUCUAAGUAUAAGCAAUUAUACCGUGAAACUGCGAAUGGCUCAUUAAAUCAGUUAUCGUUUAUUUGAUAGUACCUUACUACUUGGAUAACCGUGGUAAUUCUAGAGCUAAUACAUGCUAAAAACCUCAACUUCGGAAGAGGUGUAUUUAUUAGAUAAAAAACCAACGCCCUUCGGGGCUUCUUGGUGAUUCAUGAUAACUUUACGGAUCGCAUGGCCUUGCGCCGGCGACGGUUCAUUCAAAUUUCUGCCCUAUCAACUUUCGAUGGUAAGGUAUUGGCUUACCAUGGUUUCAACGGGUAACGGGGAAUUAGGGUUCGAUUCCGGAGAGGGAGCCUGAGAAACGGCUACCACAUCCAAGGAAGGCAGCAGGCGCGCAAAUUACCCAAUCCCGACACGGGGAGGUAGUGACAAUAAAUACUGAUACAGGGCUCUUUUGGGUCUUGUAAUUGGAAUGAGUACAAUUUAAACCUCUUAACGAGGAACAAUUGGAGG
rnacentral:rRNA from 1 species